GGCGAUAUGGCCAAGUGGUAAGGCAGAAGAUUGCAAAUCUUUGAGCCCCAGUUCGAAUCUGGGUGUCGCCU
rnacentral:tRNA from 1 species